rnacentral:rRNA from 1 species
GACGAACGCUGGCGGCGUGCCUAAUACAUGCAAGUAGAACGCUGAAGCGAGGAGCUUGCUCUUCUUGGAUGAGUUGCGAACGGGUGAGUAACGCGUAGGUAACCUGCCUUGUAGCGGGGGAUAACUAUUGGAAACGAUAGCUAAUACCGCAUAACAAUGGAUGACACAUGUCAUUUAUUUGAAAGGGGCAAUUGCUCCACUACAAGAUGGACCUGCGUUGUAUUAGCUAGUAGGUGAGGUAAUGGCUCACCUAGGCGACGAUACAUAGCCGACCUGAGAGGGUGAUCGGCCACACUGGGACUGAGACACGGCCCAGACUCCUACGGGAGGCAGCAGUAGGGAAUCCUCGGCAAUGGGGGCAACCCUGACCGAGCAACGCCGCGUGAGUGAAGAAGGUUUUCGGAUCGUAAAGCUCUGUUGUAAGUCAAGAACGGGUGUGAGAGUGGAAAGUUCACACUGUGACGGUAGCUUACCAGAAAGGGACGGCUAACUACGUG